GCUGGGCAUGGUGGCAUAUGCCUGUAAUCCCAGCUACUUGGGAAGCUGAGGCAGGAGAAUCGCUUGAACCCAGGAGGCAGAGGUUGCAGUGAGCUGAGAUCAUGCCACUGCACUCCAGCCUGGGUAACAGAGCAAGACUCUGUCUCAA
rnacentral:SRP_RNA from 2 species